rnacentral:misc_RNA from 1 species
GAUGAAGAACGUAGCGAAAUGCGAUCAGUAAUGUGAAUUGCAGAAUUCAGUGAAUCAUCGAAUCUUUGAACGCACAUUGCGCCCGCCAGUAUUCUGGCGGGCAUGCCUGUUCGAGCGUCAUUUCAACCAUCAAGCCCCAGGCUUGUGUUGGGGACCUGCGGCUGCCGCAGGCCCUGAAAACCAGUGGCGGGCUCGCUGUCACACCGGGCGUAGUAGAUUUUAUCUCGCUCAGGGCGUGCUGCGGGUUCCGGCCGUUAAAAAGCCUUUUUUACCCAAGGUUGACCUCGGAUCAGGUAGGAAGACCCGCUGAACUUAAGCAUAUCAAUAAGCGGAGGA